GACCAUGUCGUCCUGCGAGUGUCUGAGCCCAUCAGAACUCAGAAGCUAAGCGGGGCCAGACCUGGUCAGUACUUGGACGUGAGACCGCCUUGGAAGGCCAAGGUC
rnacentral:rRNA from 12 species